CUGCACCUGGCCAACCCCACUAUAUUCCCAGGCAUUGCUGUCAAGCCCUUGGGCCUCAUUUCCUUCGAGCCGUUUGCAGACAAAGUUCCAAAGACAGCAGUUCCAAUGAUAUAAGGAGAAAACUUUCGUGCUCUGAGCACUCGAGAGAAAGGAUUUGGCUAUAAGAAUUCCUGCUUUCACAGAAUCAUUCCAGGGUUUAUGUGCCAGGAUUUAUGACUUCACACACCAUCAUGACACUGCUGACAAGUCCAUCUACAGGGAUUUU
rnacentral:lncRNA from 10 species